UACGAAGGGGGCUAGCGUUGCUCGGAAUUACUGGGCGUAAAGGGCGCGUAGGCGGGUCGUUAAGUUAGAGGUGAAAGCCCAGGGCUCAACCCUGGAAUUGCCUUUAAUACUGUCGACCUUGAGUAUGGCAGAGGUGUGUGGAACUCCGAGUGUAGAGGUGAAAUUCGUAGAUAUUCGGAAGAACACCGGUGGCGAAGGCGGCCUGCUGGGCAGUAGCUGACACUGAGGCGCGACAGCGUGGGGAGCAAACAGG
rnacentral:rRNA from 1 species